rnacentral:lncRNA from 1 species
GACAUUGGCCAACAUCUGUGGGACUAUAUUUGUGGUAUAACAGAGAUCCAAGAUGGCUAAAUUCCUAAGGAAGAAGUACAUGGGGGUCUGGAGACGUUCAUCCAAUAACGGCAGCAGGAUGAUGGCCAUGUUUCCCAUCAAGGCAAUGGUGUAGAAGAGAAAGACAACCCCAGAGAUGAUCAUCUCCAGCUGUGGCUGCCCUGGGAAUCCAAGGAGUAUAAAUCCACCAAAAUGGCUAUUGUUGACCAUUUUCCUAUUUCUUGAUAUCAGCUGUGACAUAUUGGAAGCGAGUGUGUUUAUGAACAAUAUUAGUGGAAUUAUAGCUGGCAAGAAACGUAUCAUAUAAUCAAAUAACACAUCAGUAUUUACAUCUCAUUGAGUAUUUGUUCUGUUUAUCCAAUUACGUCUAGAAUUUAUCCCAGGGCGACCUGUCUACUAGAUCCAUACUCUCAGUUUUCUGUCGGCUUCUAUGCCAUGGCUAAAACCUGCAAAAUCUCAUAGGAAAAGCCUGAUGAAAGGCUGAUGAAAUCCAGUGGACUUCUCUUUAUUAAUCGGGGUGCUGGGAAGGGGGUUUGGAAUCUGUGAUCACUCAUUGUCUCUUUCAUUCAAGGGUUCAUAGAAAACACAGGUUUCAUACCUCUAAUACCCCCUUUUCUAAUACUUAAACUGCAUGGGCUCAGUUUGGGUCUCCAUUUUCACUCUGCUAUGUAAAUUUUCUGACUUUAUAUCUUAAACUUUCUUAAGUUUAUGUAUUUAUUUUUGAGAGACAGAGACAGCAUGAGCAGGGGAGGGGCAGAGAGAGAGGGAGAGAGAAAGAAUCCCAGGCAGGCUCCAUGGUGUCAGCACAGAGCUCUAAGCAGGGCUUGAGCACAAAACCAUGAGAUCAUGACGUGAGCCAAAACCAAGAGUUGGACAGUUAACUGACUGAGCCACCCAGGUGACCAACUGACUUUAGAUUUUAAAGUCAAACUUUUUUCUUUCAUCUCAAAACUUGGGUUUCCAAAUGCUAUUUGCCCUUCCCCACAUGGUCCCAGAACAGCAUUCCUCCCACUUUCCCUUCAGAUGCCAUUUUUCAUCUGAACUUUGUAUCCACCAUCCACUACUUCCUGUUUCCAUCUCUUCAUUUUACAUUCAAUCUCUGAUAUUCAUUUGUGUCCUUCCUCUCAUCCUACAAGAACUUCCAUUCUAUGACUCAUACAUAUGAAAUGUUAAAACACCUCAGGAGGGGGAGCUGUGUUAUUUUUGUGUUCAUAUUUCAUGACUCCCCUCAGGAUCGGCACAGAGAAAACAUCCAUGAAUAUGUGAGAUUUGUUAAAAGAAACUUUGCUGAUCACAUCUGACUCUUUCCUUUCAUACCUAAAAAAAAGUGGUGUCUUUGUAAAAACUCAAGCAGGAACUGUGGAAAACUAUAUAGGUUCCUCAAAAAAAAAUUGAAAUUAAAAUUAGCAUACAAUACAUUAAUGUCUCUACUGAGCUAUUCAAUGAAAAUGAACUCACUAACUAAAAGGGAUACAUGAACCCACAUGUUUAUUGCAGUAUUAUUUACAAUAGCCGAGAUAUGGAAGCAACCUGUGACCAUUGACUGAUGGAUGGAGAAAUGGUAUGUGUGUAUAUAUACAUACACAUACAUAUAUAUAUACACAUACACAUAUAAAUAGUACUCAGCGAUCAAAAAGAACAAAAUCUGGUCAUUUGCAAAGAGGUAGAUGGAGCUAGAGUUUAUAUCCUAAACAAAAUAAGCCAGUGAAAGAAAAACACCACAUGAUUUCACACAUAUGUGAAAUUUAAGAAACAAAACAAAUGAACAAAGAAAAAAGGAAACAAAAACCAAGACUUUUAACUAUAGAAAACAAACUGCUGAUCAACAGAGGGGAGAUGGGGGGUGGAGGAGAUAGGUGAAAUAGGUGAUGGAGAUUAAGAGUGUACUUAUUGUGAUGAACCUGGAGAAAGAUAGAAAAUUACUGAAUCAUUAUAUUGUACACCUGAACUAGUAUAAAACUGUGAAUUAAUUAUACUUUACCAAAGAAAAAAAAAAGGCUCAACCCAAAUAUUCAACUAAAACAGGUCUCUCCUGAGGUGGGUGGGAGGCUGGAGGAACAGAUGAUGGAUGGGUAUUAGGGAGGGCACUUGUGAUGAGCACUGGGUGCUGUAUAGGUUGAAUCACUAAAUUGUAGACCUGAAACAAAUACUGCAUGUAGGUUAACUGGAAUUUAAAUAAAAUCUUAAUAAUAAAAAUAAAAAAAAUAAACAAUGUCUCUCAUGCACAGAAAUGAAUUCCUAGCUUCCAAACCAGUGGUCUUUUCCACGUUAUUUUUCUACCUGAAUUCUCAGUGGCAGGUUAGUGCCCCCAUGUCAGCAUUGCCCUUUGCCUUCCCAAAGACACCACCUAGCUGCCCUCCUGACCCCCCCACCCAGGGGACCCUCCUUGCUAGCUCUGUCCCCAGAGUGUUCUAACGGGCUCUCCUUUCUCCCCUUCCUCCUGUGUCACAAGGCUUCCCUUACCAAUUUUUCAUAGAAAACUAACAGCCUAGGUCUUCUGGCCCUCUCAUCCUUUGCGCCUCAGAUUUAAAAUUUUAGCUAAUUUUUCGGAAUUUGUACUGACUUUGAUAACAGUAACUUCCCAUACCACAUGUACACAAAAUUGAAUUUAUUACGUUACCUCGUAAAACAAACGUUAGCUCUUUCUUUCACAGACAUGAACUUUUUAUGUAUAUAGCGGUGUUAUAAACUACUUCCUAGGGUCUUAAAAAUGUUUGUUAAAAUGAAUUUAUGAACUCUGGGCACAGAAAUUAAAAACACAAAUAUUCAUUUUUCAUUUCUAGUGUACAUUUCAUGACAUGUGAUUAAACAUAUGUCUUGGACUUUGAAGGACAGAAAAUUCAUAUAAAAGCCAGAAGCUUCUUUUGUACAUUUCUUUGAGAAUUUUGUAAACUAAUUUAAAUACAACAUGAUUUUUAAAGUAGGGAAUGUUUCUUUCUCUCUUCACCUAAAUAACACUGAGAAUGUUUCUGAUAACAUUCACCUAAAUAACACUGAGAAUUCUUUACUUACAAGAGUCCUCCCACUUGCCAUGGGGAUCAUUCAGGAGACACUCCUGUUCCUGUCCAAGGAGAAUCAUCCUAUUUAUAUGACUGGGAAGAGAAACCUGCAGUGUGAAAGAUGACAGGUCAUUUCCCCAAACAGCAAUGAUGAAAUGUGUUGAGUCUGGGAAGACCUUAGGGAUGCUGGGUUAUCUCAUUAGCAAUUAAGGUAUAUUGUACAUUACCCAGGGAAAAUCAUUUUUAAAAAACCCCAGGAGUUUCCAUAGUUAACUGACUCAUUUUCAACUCUGCAUGGAAAUUACGACCAUCAUUUAUUUGAAGUAAUAUUAAUAUAAGACCAAAUGAAUAACUAUGCUUUGCAAUUCAAAAUACAUUUCUGUGUCUGGUUUCAUCAAUGAAACACUUCUACUGAUGGUGUUAGUACUGCAGUUUCUGUGCAAGAAAUUCAUGUGUCCAGAACUUACAGAUUGUCACAAGGCAACAUAGGCAAUGAUGAGACAUUUAACCCACAUAUAAUCAUGAUUGUAAGUUUUAUUUUUUCUGUCACAUUUGCUUUUGUUUAACUUAAACUUUCAAAUAUAUUUCAAUAACAAUGAAAUUUGUGACUUCUACAAAGAAGGGCGCCUUUAGCAAUAGUGCCCCUGACAGUUUGUCCUGGAGUCACAACCAUGGAUGGAAGAGGUGAGAGGUUAUGGUGGUGAUUAUUUGAUAGAGUUAUGUUAUGCCUGAAAGCCAUAAUUUGUUAUUUAAACUUUGGCUUGUUAUUCCCAUUGAGGACACACUGGCCAAUUAACACUCCCUGGAAACUGACAUUUUAUAGAUACGUGAUCCCGCAAAAUUUCAGCAGUUUUUAUUGUUGAAUAGCUUGGUAAUAGGAUCAGAGAGUGUAAGUCUUGUCAAUGACCCUAGAGAUUAUUUAUAAGGAUAGGCCAAAACUCUAGCAUUAGUGUUGUGAGAAUCAUUACUUCCUCUCCUCCUCUGAGAAAUCACCUCAAAACAAUAAGGAUGAUAAUAAAGGGGAAAUGCAGCUUUAUUUAAGCAGCUGAGCUCUGAAACAUGGAUCCUAAAAUAGAAAACUAUUCCAGGGUUAGUGAAGGUCAGACAGUGGAAUAUGCAGAAGAAAGGAUGCCUCCUACUUUGAGAAGCUGAAGGAGGUAAGCUAAGGGGCCUCCUGAACACAGAGCAGGAUGGAGCAUAUCAGGGGAUGGUUCUUAUAUCCAUCUGGACUUCUGGAAGAACCACACAGGACACCACUGAGACAGACCUUCUGAAGAAUAUUUUCUCUUGUCAUGUAUGUGGUGAGGAGAGGGACUGUGAACAGACUGUGAGCAGGAAUUGUGAGUUCACAUCACAACACGAUAGCCUAAAAUCUCCCUUAUGUGUGUGACCCUGGGUCUGAAGGAACAUUCUCAAGCUCAAAGCAUAGACUUUGCUCCUUCCCAACACAAAUAUUCUGAAAUGGGUGGUCCAGGAAAGAAAUUUCAGGUUGAAUGUAGUAAUAAGAAAUAAGAAAUGAGUUCCAUAUUUCUAAAAUAAUAAUAAUAAUAAUAAUAAUAAUAAUACCCAAUGGGCAUGAAAGGGUCAGGAGAGAAGCAAAUAGCAGAUGAGGAGGGGCACUCACCUCACUCUAUUUUUUUUAAUGUUUAUUUAUUUUUGAAAGAGACCAUGAAUAGGGGAGGGGCAGAGAGACAGGAUGACACAGAAUCCAAAGCAGGCUCCAGGCUCUGAGCUGUCAGCACAGAGCCCGACGCAGUGCUCGAACCCACGAACUGCGAGAUCCUGACCUGAGCUGAAAUCGGACACUUAACCAAUUGAGCCACCUAGGUCCCAUCACUUCAUUCCUUAAGUGUUACACACGGAAGAUGAAGUUACAGGAUCACAUUUCAUUUAAAAAGAAAAACAUCAGGAAACAAUUAGCUCUGUGGAACUAGAAGACAGCUCAGAAAUAUAAGAACUCAUAAAAUACAUGGUGUAAGAGAUGAGCAGUAAUGGAGUUUAGCUGAGGGAACACAAAUGGGGAAGAAAACAACAGAAAUGAAAUAAAAUUUUGAAACACAGAAUACAGACUUGGCUGAAUAAAUCUUACAGGAAAAUGAGGUCAAGAUUAAGAAGCUGAAUAAAAUUAAAAUGAACAAGAUGUUCAAAAUAUUAGCAAGAAAAAUAUGGUUAUUAAAGUUUACCGAGGAUAUUAUGUAUAUGUUCAAUUGGAAUUCAUGUAUAAAUAUCACUAAAACAGCAAAGCAAAGGAAAGAUGUGUCUAGAAACUAAAAAAAGAUCAGUGUUUUGAAAUUACUCAAAUUCAAUGAACUAUUAGUUGAUUAGGGAAAAUUACCAGCCAUCUACAAAAGAGAUCCUAUGGUAUGUGGCAAGGAAAACAUAUCACGACCAAGUUGUACUUAUUCCAGGAAAGCAAGGAAGCACUUGAUGUUUAAAAUCAGGUAAUAUGAUUCACCACAUAAGUGAAUAAAAUCAGAUAAAAAAUCAUAUAGAAGAUGGGGUGCCUAGGUGGCUCAGUUAGUUUGGCAUCCAACUUUGGCUCAGGUCCCAAUCUCACGGUUUGUGAGUUCAAGCCCCGUGUCGGGCUCUGUGCUGACAGCUCAGAGCCUGGAGCCUGCUUUGGAUUCUGUGUCUCCCUCUCUCUAUUCCUCCCCUGCUCCCACUCUGUCUCUCUCUCUCAAAAAAAUAAAAAUAAAAGUUAAAAAAAAUCUUUUAAUCAUAUAGAAGAAAAUAUGAUAAAAUUCAGCACCUUAUAAAAAUCUAUUUUUUAUAUUACUCAGCAAUCAAAAAGAGUGAAAUCUUGCCAUUUGCAACAAUGUGAAUGGAACUGGAGGGUAUUAUGCUAAGCGAAAUAAGUCAGAGAAAGACAAAUAUCUUAUGAUUUCACUCAUGUGGAAUUUAAGAAACACAACAGAUGAACAUGGGGGGAAGGGAUGGAAAAAUGUGUUAAAAACAGAGGGAAACAAACCAUAAGAAACUUAAAUACAGAGAACAAAGAGGGUUGCCGGAGGGGUGUUGGGUGGGAGUAUGGGCUAAAUGGGCGAAGGACAAUAAGGAGGGCACUUGUUGUGAUGAGUACUAGGUGUGUAUGUAAGUGAUGAAUCGCUGAGUUCUACUCCUGAAAUAAAUACUAUACUGUAUGUUAACUAACUUGAAUUUAAAUAAAUAAUUAAAAAUCUUUUUAAAAAAAGAAAACAGGGCCACCUGGGUGGCUCAGUAGGUUGAGCGUCCGACUUCGGCUCAGGUCACAAUCUCACGGUUUUUGAGUUCAAGCCCCACGUCUGGCUCUGUGCUGACAGCUUAGAGCCUGGAGCCCGCUUCUGCUUCUGUGUCUCCCUCUCUCUCUGCCCCUAACCCACUCGCAUUCUGUCUUUGUCUCUCUCAGAAAUAAACAUUAAAAGAAAUUAAAAAAAAAAAAAAAGAAAACAGUCUUUAACACAAACCUGUAGCAAAUCAUUAAACUCAGAGGUGAAAUAGGGGAUGCCGUCCUCCCUGUCAGUGAACAGGACAGUUUCUGGCACUUCCAGCCAAAAUUCUACUGGGAACCCAGCCAGUACAGUAAGAGAAAAGAAAACUAAAAAGGGGGAGCAGAGCACCUGAGUGGCUCAGUCAGUUGAGUGUCCGGCUUCGGCUCAGGUCACGAUCUCUCACCAUUUGUGGGUUCGAGCCCCGCGUGGGGCUCUGUGCUGACAGCUCAGAGCCUGGAGCCUGUUUCAGAUUUUGUCUCCAUCUCUCUCUGCCCCUUCCCCACUUGUGCUCUGUCUCUAUCAAAAAUAAAUAAAUGUAAUAAAAAAAUUUGAAAAAAAAAAGAAAACUAAAAAGGAAGUUUCAGAAAGGAAGAAAUAAUUUGUCAUUAUUUGCAGAUUGUGUGAUAAAAUACACAAAAAUCUCUAAAAGGAUAUACAAAUAAAUUAGAAUUAAUAAUUUGGCUAGCAAAUUCAUUGGAUACCAGGUCAAUAUACUAAAAAAAACCCCACAAAACAUAUUUUUAUACAGUGGCAACAAUCAACUAAAAAUUUUUUUAAACAAAUACCAUUUACUACCAUUUACAACAGGAUCAGAAACAUUCAAUGACUAGCAAUAAAUCUUUGUAAAAUGCAUGCAGGGGCCCCCCAGAAAAACUGCACACAUUAAUGAGAUAGAAGGAGGGGACGUCAUGGUCAUGGGCCAGAGGACCCUGCACUGAAAGAUCACAGUGUCAAUCUUGAGUUCUUUUAGAUUAUAGAAAAUGAGGCAACUCCACUCACUUCAUGAAUCUAACAUAACUUAGAUACUAAAACCAGAAAAGAACUUUACAGAAAUGGAAAAUUACAGGUCUAUAGCACUUAUGAGUUUUGGUAAAAAAAAAAAACAAAAACAAAACUGUCAACAAAAGUAACAAACUGAAUGUAUAAACUAAGAUAAUAAUUCUGGUCCAAGUUAGGCCUACUCUGUGAAGGUAAAGUUUGUAUAACCAUAGAAAUCAUCAAUAAAUAUUAAUUUACAACAUAAUAAAGCAAAGCCGAAAAAAAUCACAUGGUCUUCACAACAGACACAGAAAAAUACUUCAUAAAAUUUCGUAUUUAUUUAUGACAAAAAUAAAAUAAUCUUAGAAUGUAAGGAGUGUAAAAAAAUAACAGCUGAUAAAAAGUGGCAAGAUAAAACACAUCACAUUUAUUAUAUAGUAACAGUGAAAUAAUCAAAACUCUCCCUUUGAUAUUAGGAACUACAUAAGCAAUGUCACACAUACUACGUUCAUCAUCGGCAGGGCAGGCUAGUACUAUAAAUUGAGUAGAAAAAUUAAAAUCACAUAACUCGAAAAGGUACAAGUAAAACUUCACAUAAUAUUGAUGAAUAUUGGUGUAUAUAUGGUCACUUUUUUUUUUAAUUUUUUUUUUGACGUUUAUUUAUUUUUGAGACAGAGAGAGACAGAGCAUGAACGGGGGAGGGCCAGAGAGAGGGAGACACAGAAUCUGAAACAGGCUCCAGGCUCUGAGCUGUCAGCACAGAGCCUGACGCGGGGCUCAAACUCACGGACCGCGAGAUCAUGACCUGAGCCGAAGUCGGCCGCUUAACCGACUGAGCCACCCAGGCGCCCCUAUACGGUCACUUUUUACACAUAAUAAUGGUGUAUAUGUGGACAGUCUAAAAUAAUCUCUGGAUAAAUUAGGAGCCUCAGUAAGUAUGUUGGGUAAAAUGUGAAUACAGGGUCAAUAUUGAAAUCAAUUUUGCUUGAACAGCCAUUGUUAAAAAACAAAAUUAAAAAUGUUAAAGAUACAACCUGCAACAGAAUAAAAACGCAUCAAAUAUCUAGGAAAAAAUUCAUAAAAAGAGCUUUGGAAUGUAUAUAUGUGGAUAUUAAUACAUAUGUAAUUAUAGGUUAUUAAAAACUACAACCUUUAUGAACAGGAGAGAUAAAUUAUUACUUUCUAUUCAGAAUAUCAGAGUUGUGGAAAUAAAUGAAGUACUGAAAUGCUUAGAAAUGCAUAAAUCAUGAAAAUGUGAUGUUAUUCAUAUGAAGGAAGUCAGGCACAACAGAAUUCAUUUACACAAAAAAUUUUAAAUAUCCAAGUUAUACCAUAUUCCUGGGAGAUGCAUACCUAGGUAAAUCAUCCAUAAAACAAAGGAAGACAUUGGAGUCCACACAUUGAGAAUCAUGGUUCUUCCAGGGGAGGAGGGCAGGAUUAUAGGCAGGUAUUAGACAUGGAAUGAAUUGUUAUAGCCAUCUUUUUUAACCUCUUUGGUGUGAAUGGGAUUUUGUGACAGAUGUGAGGACCCUGACAUGAUCGGAAAUGGAGCCAGAGGAAGUGAUACUGGAUACUGAACCAGAAAUAAAGAGGAAGUCAUCAAAAAGUCUUAGCCUCAAGCUUCAGUCUGAUAAUACAGCUCUCAACGGCCUCUACAUAUCAAUAUUUAUCUUUCUUCUUAAAUAUGGAAAGGAUUACAGUUUGACCAAAAUGAUGGAGAAAUAACUAAAAAACAAACAACAUUGUAGCGAAAGGCAAAUAUGAGAGGUCACUUCAGUGGCCAUGAAUCACCUUCCCAUGUGCUAGUUUUUCCCCAAGUUGAGAAAAGAGUAUUUCUACUCUGCACACAGAGUAGGGAGUUAGUACAGUUCAAACAGGUGCUGUGGUAAGAUCUCCAUGCUGGCCCUAAAAAUAAUCAGUAAAAAAGACCAAGUGGGAAAGAGAAAAGUAAUAUCUUAACAACAGUCACUGGAAUGUGAUAUAACAUGUUUUUCUUUUUGUGCUCAAAGAAUUGGGUUGUUUGUUGAGUAAUUCUAUAGACAGAGGAAGAUGUCAGAGGAAAGACAUUUUCGGUGUAAUUAGCAUCACCUCACUUUUAAGAUAAGUGGUAGCUGGAACUCAUGGUCUUCUUGGUUUAUUAGUGGUCUCACAGUUGUCCUCACACUGGAGAUCACCCUAUGUGGAGAUAUUCCUAGAAUGCUGGAGGCGAAGACAUCCCAAACAUGGGGUGUGACGAGAACAGCUUUUAGCCCCCUUGACAUCCUGACAAUAUUUACUUAGCAUAAUGAAGGGAGAAGAUUAGAGUUAAAUUGAUGAAUGUCAAUAUAAUUGGGACAUGUGUCCUCUGAAAGAAUCAGUGCAUAAUUUAAGCAAUCUCUAGUGUUGGCAUCUCAGUUUAAGAAUUUAUUUUAAAUAUGGACUUUGGGGGCAACUGGGUGACUCAGUCAGUGAAGCAACGUACUCUGGAUUUCAGGUUGGGUCAUGAUCCCAGGGUCAUGAGAUUGAGCCCUGUAUCAGGCUCAGUGCUAACAGUGCAGAUCCUGCUUGGGAGUCUCUUUCUCUCUCCCUCUCUCUGCCCCUACCCUGCUCAUGCCUGUGCACAUGCACACUCACUCUCUCUCAAAAUAAACAUUUUAACAUAAAUAAAUAUGGAUUUCUGUACAUUGGAUUUUAUCAUAAUUAUUAUCGUAUGUAUUUAGAGUACCCUCUGUCUCUCAGCUGAUGACUACAAAAUAUCUUGUCUACAUUUAAUGGAUGUCAGGUGAACAUUUCCAUAUUGGAAAUUGCUGGGAGUAAGAAUCAUUGUCCUGUUGUUUCCAAGGAACGUUUUUCUUUUCCAAUCAGUCUCUUCAUGGCCCCCUUGAACUCCUUAUUCCUUAGUGUGUAGAUCAGGGGGUUCAAGCUGGGAGUCACAAUGGAAUAAAAGAUACUGAGAAGUUUACCUUCAUCCUGAGAUGGACUGUUUCCUGGCUGGAUGUACAUGUAGAUAACAGUCCCAUAGAAGAUGGACACCACAAUGAGGUGGGAGGAACAGGUCCCAAAUGCUUUCUGUCUCCCUGUUGCAGAUUUGAUCUUCAACACAGCUACAGCAAUGAAGCCAUAAGAAACCAGAAUGAGAAGGAGUGGUGUGAGGAAAAUAAAAAAACAUAAUGCAAAUAAGGUUUCCUCCAUGGCUGUGGUGUCCACACACGCAAUCUUCACCAUUGCAGAUAUUUCACAAAAAUAGUGAUCCAAAUGGUGGUUCCCACAUCGGGGAAGACUCAUGGCAUAGGGUGAAAGUAUCAUGCAAUUAGUAACACCAACUCCCCAGGUCAUGGCCACCAGGGUUCGACAGAGUUGGGGGUUCAUAAUGGUCAUGUAGUGCAGAGGUUUGCAGACAGCAUUGAAUCGGUCAUAAGACAUCACAGCCAGAAGGAUACAUUCCACUGAGCACAGUACCAUAUCAAUGAAAAGUUGAAGGACACAGCCACCAAACGUAAUUCUCUUGUCUUUGCCCCAGAUAUUGGCCAACAUCUGUGGGACUAUAUUUGUGGUAUAACAGAGAUCCAAGAUGGCCAAAUUCCUAAGGAAGAAGUACAUGGGGGUCUGGAGAUGGUCAUCUAGGAAAGAAAGCAGGACGAUGGCCAUAUUUCCCAUCAAGGCAAUGGUGUAGAAGAGAAACACAACCCCAGAGAUGAUCAUCUCCAGCUGUGGCUGCCCCUGGAAUCCAAGGAGUGUAAAUCCACCAAAGUGGCUGUCAUUGACCAUUGUUUUCUUUUUUGUCAAUAGCAAUUCUAAAGAUGGAAUAAUCAAUAAUGAGUAUAUUCAAAACCCUUAUAGCCAGAUUCAAAUCAGGCAUUACAUUGAUGAUAUGGAUAAAAGUUUUAUUAUAAAACAUAUCAUUUUCAUUGCUCCAGAUAAUGUAAAUUUUUAUUGGUUCAGAUAAUGUAAAUGUUAAGCUCUGAUGGACAAUUGUAAUGGGCUAUUGUAUAGUUUUCUUUUUUGAACAUCAAACAAAAUGUCCAAAUGUGAAUUAUAAUACAAAAAUUUACUGAUAAAACUAGUAAUCUGUAUCUCUACCACUAGAGUAUAUAAAAGAGAACUUUGUUUGAUUUAAUGUCAUUAAAUGUCUUUUAAUGUGGCUAGUUCUUUACUGGAGGAAUUUUCUUUGUGUCAAUAAUAGCAGCAGUGCAUACUGAAGAAUUUAAAUCAGUAACUUUAUGUUUAAUCUUUUAAAAUACAAUUAUUUUGGGGCGCCUGGGUGGCGCAGUCGGUUAAGUGUCCGACUUCAGCCAGGUCACGAUCUCGCGGUCCGUGAGUUCGAGCCCCGCGUCAGGCUCUGGGCUGAUGGCUCAGAGCCUGGAGCCUGUUUCCGAUUCUGUGUCUCCCUCUCUCUCUGACCCUCCCCCGUUCAUGCUCUGUCUCUCUCUGUCCCAAAAACAAAUAAACGUUGAAAAAAAAAUUAAAAAAAAAUAAAUAAAAUACAAUUAUUUUAAUUUUCAUUCCACUAAGGAACAAAAUCACAUGAAUAUCAAAUAGAACAGUAAUUUCCAACCCUGUCUAAACAAAAAGAAAUUUUUGGAGAUAUUUUCAAAUAAAGAGAUUCCUUGAUGCAGUCACUAUAGAAAAUAGGAUGGGAGUUCCUCAAAAAAUUAAAAAAGAAAACAACAACCAUACGAUCCAGCAAUUCCACUUUUGUGUAUUUAUCCAAAGUAAAUGAAAAUGCUCACUCAUUCACUGCAGCACUAUUCACAAUAGUCAAGUCAUAGAAGCAAACUAAGUGUCCAUUGAUGGAGGAAUGGAUAAAGACACUGGUGUAUAGACACAAUGGAAUAAGUCAGUCCUAGAGAGGUAAGCAUGGUGACUAUAGUCCAUAAUGCCACACUGUAUACUUGAAAGUUGCUGAGAGAGUAGAUCUUUAAAGUUCUCAUCACAAGAAAAAUACAUAAAAUACAUUCUGUACAAAGAUCUCUGUAAUACUAUUGAAAAAAAAUCAUAAUCAUCGACAGAGCCCUCCAAGUAUUUGACUGUGGGUCUUGUUUGAGACUUGUAUUUAUCCUAGCAUUAAUUCUAAGUGGUCAUAUAAUAACUAAACAUUUAUGAUAUUGGUUAUGCCUUUAAUAUGUCACAAUUCUUAUGGAGUCUGACAUGAGACUUUUAAAUUAUAAAUGCUUGAAAUGAAAAAAAAAAGUGCCCAGGCACUGCCCAAAGUCCCAUGUGGGGUAAGUUUCCCGACUGGAGAACCAUUGGUCUAACCUGUGGCUGGUGUGAGCCUGAAUCCCACUCUGUCCUUCCAGAUUUUUAUUCUCAAAUUCUGCCAUUUCCUUGUAAGAGUCAAAUUUAUCCCUUUGAUUCAAAUUUCUCUGUAUUGCCACCUAUCUUCUACCACUUAUUUUUUCUCAGAUCCAGAAAUUGAUUUAUUUUAUUAUAAAAAUUAUUUGACCUCCUGUACUAUUGAUUCCAUUAUUUACAGUCUCCUAAAGUCUGGUUAUUCAUACUUUUAUGUCUUUCUUGAUUUUAUACAGGUUUUCUACCACUCACUUAUACUUUGGCUUUCGUCCAUACAAUGACUCACUCCUGGCACACUUCCAGUCAGAAUUUUGAGCCACAUGAAGCUGUGUUCUUUCAUAGCUGUAUUCUCAGUGACUAACCCCAGGUUUAGGCACAGAGACUGGCAAUACACAAAAGCCAUAGUAACAGCAAAUCUGUGUUCCUCACCCUUUGCCUUUAUUAAACUCUGAAAGAGAAGUUUCUUCUUAAAAUUACAAGCACAAACUUUCAAAAAAGCAAUCUGGGGCGCCUGGGUGGCGCAGUCGGUUAAGCGUCCGACUUCAGCCAGGUCACGAUCUCGCGGUCCAGUGCGUGAGUUCGAGCCCCGCGUCGGGCUCUGGGCUGAUGGCUCAGAGCCUGGAGCCUGCUUCCGAUUCUGUGUCUCCCUCUCUCUCUGCCCCUCCCCCAUUCAUGCUCUGUCUCUCUCUGUCCCAAAAAUAAAUAAACAUUGAAAAAAAAAUUAAAAAAAAAAAUUACUUUAAAAAAAGCAAUCUGGCUUCUCUCAUGUACCAUAUAUUAAAAAUAUCAUCUUAAAGACAAAGUGGCCCUAAUUUUUUUAAUGUUUCUUUAUUUUUGAGAGACAGAAACAGAGCAGGAGCCGGGGAGCAGCAGAGAGAGAGGGGGACACAGAAUCCAAAUCAAGCUCCAGGCUUUGAGCUGUCAGCACAGAGCCUGACAUGGGCUCAAACCCACGGACUGGGAGAUCGUGACCUAAGCCAAAGUCUGAAACUUAAUUGACUGAGCCACCCAGGCACCCACCAAAGUGGCCCUAAUUUCUAAAACCAGUGUCUUUUCUCAAUUAUCUUAGCCACUUGGGUUUACCUUUGCCCUACAAAAACAGUAACCAAAACUUAACUUCUAAAAUAACUCUACUCUCCUCCAAGAUUGUACAACCCCUUUUCUUACCAUUAUCACUUUAUCACUCUCUUUACCUCUUCCCUUCACUUCGUCUUCUCAUCCAUUUCUCCUUCCCUCCACCUGUGUUCACACCAUCUUCUGCUUCUCUCCUGUUUCAUGGAUCUUCACUCCUGAGGUUUCACUUUCUCACUGGGGACUGAUGAUCGGCCGUGGGUCUCUGCUUGCCCAGCUCCCCCCAGCAGCAGAUUCCACAGCCAUACACAGGUUCACAUCAUCACCAGGAGCAAAUGUACAGCUAAUGUCACGCAUCAUGGUUCUAACUGAGAUCUUCAUUUUCACUCUCCAACAAAUCCACUGCCCCUUUCACUGUGGCACACUUAGUUUAUUAGACGUAUGAUCCUUAAAGUGCACCUAGUAGGCUCUUAAUACAUCUUGUUAACAUAGAAGGUGGGGUACAGACACAGGAGUAGAGAGGUAAAACCAUUUCCACUUAACAGAUAGUGACCUAGAGAUUAUUAGAUGUCCUACAUGGUAGAGAAAACUAGAACUAAAAGGUUAUAUGCAAAUUAUUUUGAUGUUGAGGAACUUCUAGUAAUACUACCCAAGACAACCUAAUUUCUUGCCCACUUACCCUAAUUCAGUUGAGUAAACUUUUCAGUGCUGGUAAUUCAGGCAAGAAAAACUUAGAAGAGAAACUUUCUUUUUCUGAAGUACAAGAUGAAUAUUCUUCUUUAUAACUAUUAUAAAUAUUAUAAUAUUCUAUUUAUAACUAAAUAGAGCAGAUAUAUCCCUAGACUAUCUCCACUUUUGCCCAAUUAUCACCGUGACUUUUGUGCUGGCGGAAGGAGGCUGUGCUGCCUCUCACCACCCCAUUCACUGGCCCAAUUAAUGAGGCACAUUCAUGUCCUCCUGUGGAAAAGAACCCAGCAAGGAGACACAGCUGUGCUAUGAAUGAUAACUAAGUAGUUUUCCCCUAAGAGCAAUGGUGUAACACCUGGGGAUACUGAGUCUCUCCUAAGCAAUUUGUAUUGAUAAUUGCUCAGAAACACAAAGCCAAAACAAAAACAAUUCUCCCUGAAGGGAAGUUAUCAAUGUCCAAAGUCAGCUACUUUUCUUAAUUUUAGACUGAGUUUAAAAUCAUCACUAUUAUUUGUAUUAUAUAUGAGGCUAAUAUGAGUGAAAAUAAUUAUAAGAGUUUUGUAUUGUGCUUUGUUGUACACAAUCUGCAAUACGAUAUACUUCAAUAUACAAUAUACAACACAUUUUUGCAUAUUACGUCUUAGUGAUCCUUAAGGCCUUGAGUGGACAUUAUUACUCUUUUUAUGUGGCUGCAAAUUGCAUAUCAUAGAAGUCUUGUGACAAGCCCAGAAUGACGAAUAAUAAACAAAACAGUGUGGUCUGCAUCUUCUGACUCUACAAUUUUUUUUAAUUGAACAUAUCUUCUUAUAAAUGAUCUCAAGUUUUGAAAUAAAUUUAAUUGGCAAAUACAUUUAUAAUUUCAGCAUGGAACAUAAGUUAAUGCCCCCUCAGCCAUCUACCAAAAGAGUAAGAGGAGAAAGAAAUGUAAUGGGUAUAAAAGUAACAUUGAGAGAUGCCUGGGUGGCUUAGUUGGUUAAGCAUCCAAGUUUAGCUCAGGUCAUGAUCUCACAGUUUGUGGGUUCAAGCCCCACAUCAGGCUCUGUGCUGACGGCUCAGAGCCUGGAGCCUGCUUUGGAUUCUGUGCCUCUCUCUUCCCCUCCCUGCUCGUGCUCUGUCUCUCUCAAAAAUAAAUAAAAGUUAAAAAAAUUUUGUAACUAAAUCCCAGCAGUAAUGACUUGAUAGAUGUAAACCUAGAAACAUAGCUUAGAGUUUAGAAAUGUUGCCUCUUGAUGCCUCUUGCACAGUUGGUGGGAAUGCAAACUGGUGCAGCCGCUCUGGGGAAGAGUAUGGAGGUUCCUCAAAAAGUUAAAAAUAGAACUUCCCUAGGAUCCAGCAAUUGCACUACUAGGUAGUCAUAGAAAAGGAUAGAAAAAUGCUGAUUCAUAGGGGCACCUGCACCCCAAUGUUUAUAGCAGCACUAUCAAUAAUCAAAAUAUGGAAAGAGCCCAAAUGUCCAUCGGCUGAUGAAUGGGUAAAAAAAAAAAAUGUGGUAUACACAUAUAUGCACGCGCGCGCACACACACACACACACAAUGGAAUAUUACUCAGUGAUCAAAAAGAGUGAAAUCUUGCCAUUUGCAAUGAUGUGGAUGAAGCUAGAGAGUAUAAUGCUAAGUGAAAUAAGUCAGUCAGAGAAAGACAAAUGCCAUACAAUUUCACUCAUGUGGAAUUUAAGAAACACAACAGAUGAGUAUAUAGGAAGGGAGAAAAGAGAGAGGGAAAUAAACCAAAACAGACUCUUAAUGACAGAUAACAGAGUUGAUGGAGGGUGGGGGAUGGGCUAGAUGGGUGAUGAGUAUUAAGGAGGACACUUGUUGGGAUGAGCACUGGGUGUCAUAGGUAAGUGACGAAUUACUGUAUUCUACUCCUGAAUCCAAUAUUGCACAAUACAUUAACCAAAAUUUAAAUAAAAGUUUGAAAAUAAAAGGAAAAAUAAAUGUUGCGAUUCAUGUUAUAUAAUGUAACCCCUUGUAACUACCACUAGACAUGGGUUACAAAAAAUAUUUUGGCUAGUUUCCCUUGCUGGGAGAUUUAUUUUACAGGAACAUAGAGCAUCAGUCCAGUAAUGAUCUUGGAGAUUGAUCAUCAAUGACAGCAAACAUUUCAAUGUUCUUAUGGUUGAAUAAAAUGUCUUUCCUGUUCCCCUCUCAGAAAGAGACCCAAAACUAAUAAGGAGAACAGAAGCACAAUAAUCUAAAAUAUACUUGAAAACCAGAACCAUUAAAUAAUGGUCCCAGACACGAGAAGGACCAAAGCAAGGGCUUAAGAUAGAGUAUGUCCAUCACUGCUGAGUUCAAAAUGGACUGAAAAAGCCAGCUUCCUCCAAACAAGUGGCCGGCUUGAAGAAAAGACAGCCUGUUGUUUCAACAACAGGAAUGGGGAAUGAAGGCGGGCAAUGUUAAUCGUCCUGGAUCUCUGUGUGGAGUCUCAGAAAAGCAGAAAUAGGAAUCAUGGAGAUAACUUACUUUUGAUUCUACAGAGUAAAUUGCAUAAAAAAAUUAGGAGCCUGACUCUACAACAAGAUAAACAGAGGCUUCCUUUUUUGUUAUAUUUUGAAUUUUUAAAUUCAGCAUAUCAAUUUCUUAAAAAAAAAACUUGCUGAGAUUUUCAUUAUAAAUUAGUAUAAAAAUCAUGGACAUCUUAACAUCGAGUCUUCCAAUAAUGAGUAUGGUAGGUCUUACCUUUUAGCCUUUGUCACUUUCCCUCCCCAUCCUUUGUGGUCGUCAGUGUAGGGGUCUGUGGCUGGUCGAAAGGCAGUCCCCCAAGAACGCUCACUGAGAAUCUGCGAAUGUGAUCUUGGAGAGGGUGUCUUAGUGCGCCAGGGCUGCCAUAAGAAAACACCACACACCGGAUGGUUUAGACAACAGAAAUGCAUUUUGUAAUGCAUUUCUCUCACGGCUCUGGAGGCUGGGGGUCCAAGACCAGGGUGCUGGGGGGUGGGGGGUCAGUUUCUGAUAGGAGUUCUCUUCCUCGCUUGCAGAGGGCCUCCUUCUCCCAGGGAGAGAGCUAACGCUCUGGUGUUUCCUAUAAAGACAAGAAUCCUAUAGAAUCGGGGCCCCACCCUUAUGACCUCAUUUAACCUUGAUUACCUCUGUAAAGGCUCUGUCUUCAAAUACACUGGGGAUUAGGGUUUCAGCAUCUGACUUUGAGAGUGGAAAUGAUCACAAACAUUCAUUCCAUAACUAAAGGGUUUUGCAGGUGUAAUUAUGCCAAGGGUCUAGAAAUAAAAUCAUCGUGGAAUAUCUGGGUGGGUCCUAAAUCUGAUGACAAGUGUCCUCAUAAGAGAAAGGCACAGGGAGAUUUGAGACCUGGAAGAGAAGGCCACGUGGAAAGGCAGGUGGAGAGACUUCUCUGUCGCAGCUGGGUCUGCCUGGGACAAUGUGAGGGUCGUAGGGGAAGGAAGUGUUCUCCCCCUGCCUCAGAAGGAACAUGGCCUAUCAACACCUCAGUUUUGGACUUCUGGCCUCCCAAACUGUAAGAGAAUACAUUUCUGUUGGUUCAAGCCAGUAGAUUUGUGGUAAUUGUUUGGCAACCACAGAAACUCACAUGGGGCCAUGCACAACUUUCAUUAGAUAUUUUUUGAGGAAUUGAUCUUCUAGAUGGUAUUUAAGAAAGUUUCAUUUUCAGUGGUUCAUUACGAACAUAUAGAAAUACAGCUAACUUACAUUAACUUGCAUCCUGUGACUUUACUAGUUUCAUUUUAAGUAAGAAUUGUACUUUUUCCUUUCCAAUCUUCAUGGUUUAUUUUUCUUUCCUUCUUACAAAAUGCUAGGUGUAGGCUUUUCAUGAAUGCCAUGUAUCAGAUAGAA